AAGAGCUUUGCUGAGGGCCUGGCUGAGCAGGGGAGUCACGGCAUAAGCACCAGUGUUGAUGGCAAAUGCUUGGCCAGGACUUAACUUCUUGAAAACAGUCGCCAGCAGCGUCACCAAGCUUCACAUCAGUGAGGACUCCAGGCAUUUCCCUAAGUGACUUUUCCAGCCUAUUUUCUGUUCCCCUCAAGGCCCUUGGCUCCCUGAUUCCACCUGUCCGCUACAGCUUGGAGCCUCUGUACCUUUGCACCUCCAGGAAGGCUUUGCCUCCCCAGGCUACCUUCUAGGCCAGUUAUAUCUCCUCCAUGAAAAAGCACCCCCCUCAGCCUCCCCCAACCAGUGAGAAUCCCCCCUGCAUUGCAGACUGGUUCUCUGUUGGAGGUCCUGGAGAGGGUUGAUGGUUCGUUGACCUUUGAGCUGGACCCGGGCUCUUCACCCCGUCCUGGUCCUUGGAACAUAGUCCUGCCUGCCAGUCUGUCCCAGAGCCAUUUUGAAGGACACAGGCUUGAAGGACACAGGUGGUUAAGACCAUCUGGGCUGAAGGUGUGACUGAGCCCAGGGAAGGCCGCUCUGUGCACUCAAGAUGCUGGUGUCAGCUGCAGAGAUCUACUCAUCUCGAGGUGCCCAAGACUGGCCUGGCUGCCUCAGUGGGGUGCCAGCUCCCAAGGGAAGGUCACUGGGUGACUCCACCUCUGCCAUGAAAGUCCUGGGCUGGAGCCCAAGAGUGAUCCAGAGUCUCAGCCCCCGAUUCCUUUCUCCACUGCUUCAGGGCAUUUGGGUCCUGUUGUUGCAUGGGUGGAGUGGUGGCUCAGCACCCAGUCUUCCUGGCUGAAUCGAUAAAUAAAAGCAAGAUGGCCAUGGAAAAACAAAGAUUUUGUGCAAGACAAACCUGGGUGUAUAUUCCAUAUCUGUCCUUACAAGCUAUAGGAGCUUAGGUGAGUCAUUUACCUUCUAUGAGCCUCAGUGUACUUAAGGAGAGAGAAUGAUUAUACCCUCAGUUUUGAGUGGUCC
ensembl:lincRNA